rnacentral:lncRNA from 1 species
UUUUAUCUUUAUUAGAUAAAUUUUAGCCUUGUUAAGAACUAGUGGUGACUUUUAUCAUAAAAAAUCAAAAUAAUUAAAAUAAAUAAAUAAAUAAUCUUAUAAAUUUACUUCUAACAUUCUUCUGUGAUCUUUGUUUUAAUUUUGAGCCUUUUAUAUUUGAUUGAUGAUAUCAAAUAAAAUCGUUUUAUUUGAAUAUGAAUAUAUUAUUCUUUCAUAAGUUUCAGAAUCUUCUGAUAUUUUUCCACAUGUUUGAGACAAUUUAGUCUUUUAUAUAUACGAAAUUUGUAUGUUACUUUAUUUUUAUUUUUUCUUCUUAUUUUCUCUCUUUCGCCUUCUUAAUGGUAUUACUGUAAUCAGAUUAAUAAUUAUUUUAGAAUAUAUAAAUCAAAAAAUAAUUCAGAUGAAAUAUAAUUAGUUAAAGUAGUUUGAAAUCUUAAUAAUUGAAUUUUGUGUAUAAUAUUUUUAUUUUAUAAAUAACUUUUUUAUAUUCAUAAUUGAAUAUAUUAUACAUUUUGUCAAAAAGGAUACUUCUUUGAUACAUUUCACAAAGUAAUACUUCUUUAGCUUAAAAUUUAUGCAUUUAAUGAGAAUAAGUUUUUAUUUAUAUAUAAAUAAUCUUAUUUUUUAAGGAUUUUUGAGGCUACUUGUAUUCCAAUUUUUAAAAUAUUUAAGGUUGUGGGACACAUGUAUAUUUAUAUAUAUAUAUAUAUAUAUAUAUAGUAUUGUAGUUAUUUUCAUAAAAAUCUAAUAAACUUACUAGGGUUGACACUAAAUCACCUUGAAAAGAGUCUUUUGUGACAGACAUGAAAGUCAAAUCCUCAACUUUCAAAACUAUAUCUAAGAUUUCUAGGGUCACUUGACCAAAGUGUCACAAACACACGUGGCACUACUAUGGAGAGAGGUGUCCAAAAGAGAUGUCCAGCACAAACCUGUCAAAGAAGUAAUAGAUUUUAAGCAAACAAACACAUUCAUAAAUAUGUAGAGAAAAAAAGAAAUAUAUAUAUGUGUAUAUAUAUAUAUAUAUAUAUAUAAGCUUUGGAAUGUGCUCCUUAAAGCAACUUCUUACAAAUUACCAACAUCAUAUCAAAAUAAUACUUUUAUAACAUAUUUUUAUGCAAAACCAAAUUCAGAUAAUACUGGAAAUAUCUAUUUCGAUGUAUCAUCUUAAUUUGUUUGUUUUAUUAAUGCUACUAUUAAUUAAUUAUUUUUAAAAAUUUAGUUUAACUCAAGGAUAAAUAAAUAUCUACUUCUUUUGAAAUGUCUUAUUGAUUGUAUUUUACUAUUCAGGUAACUUAAUUCAAAACAACUAGAAAAUAAACAUGUCGCCCAUGUUUUCGUUUAAAAUAGACAAGUAGUGAAGAAGAACAUUAAUUGAACUGGGAAUGUCUUUUCAACAAAGCAUUGAAGUAGCAGCCAUGGGGAGGAUGAUUUGGAAAUUUGUUUGGGUUUCCUGUUAAGGGACUUGUAAAGAAACAGCAAUUUUGUAUUGAUCAAACUGAGUAAAAACGUGUUGUGCAAAGUAAAUUUAAUCACAAAUUUGUGGUUUUGAGACUUAUGUGAAGAAUAGUUAUAAAAAAUGAUGAUACUUACACACGAAUGAGCAUUGUAUCCUAAUUGAUCAUUGAACAGAUUAGAACAACUCACCAAACCCUAAAAUCAAUUUACAUUGAAAUUACAAAGUUAAAUAAUAAUAUUCAUUUUGUACAUACAUUUACCAGUUAAUGAAUAUCACUCUUUCUCCUGCACUUGAAGGACACCUACACUGUAUGUAUAUAUACAUCUGUACAGAUUUAAUAUGCAAAGUUGAGAACAGUGUUUAGUUAAGAUAUGCAUAUAAAACAUGGCA